GAACUUGAGCACUAGAAUCAAUCCUCCAAGGAUAUCAGUUGAUAACACUAGUUGCAAUGACUGUACUCUAAUAAAGGUAACCUUUUUCAUUGUAGCUAUUAAGGAUUUUGCUUCCUCACGAUCUCCAAGGCGAAUCUGUAUAAUAUGAUGAGUCCAAUCUUGCAAAGCCAUAUUGUAUGAGAUUAAGGGUGGAGUUCUCACUUUUAUUCAAUCCUUGAAACAUAAAAAAGUACAGUGGUUUUUAAUCAGAAAGCAGAUUUAUCUUGCAUGGAAUGUGAUGCAUAUAGGUUGACAGCAUGAACAAACCAG
rnacentral:misc_RNA from 1 species